rnacentral:rRNA from 1 species
AGAGUUUGAUCCUGGCUCAGAACGAACGCUGGCGGCAUGCCUAACACAUGCAAGUCGAACGCUCCCGGGGCUUCGGUCCCGGGGGAGUGGCGCACGGGUGAGUAGCGCGUGGGAACCUGCCCUGUUGUGGGGGAUAACCGAGGGAAACUUCGGCUAAUACCGCAUGCGCCCGAAGGUAACUUCGGGGAAAGAUUUAUCGCAGCAGGAGGGGCCCGCGUCGGAUUAGCUAGUUGGUGGGGUAACGGCCCACCAAGGCGAUGAUCCGUAGCUGGUCUGAGAGGAUGAUCAGCCACACUGGGACUGAGACACGGCCCAGACUCCUACGGGAGGCAGCAGUGGGGAAUAUUGGACAAUGGGCGCAAGCCUGAUCCAGCAAUGCCGCGUGAGUGAUGAAGGCCUUAGGGUUGUAAAGCUCUUUCGCCCGCGACGAUGAUGACGGUAGCGGGAGAAGAAGCCCCGGCUAACUUCGUGCCAGCAGCCGCGGUAAUACGAAGGGGGCGAGCGUUGUUCGGAUUUACUGGGCGUAAGGGGCGCGUAGGCGGCGUAUCAAGUCAGGCGUGAAAGCCCCGGGCUCAACCUGGGAAUGGCGCUUGGGACUGGUAUGCUUGAGUUCGGGAGAGGAGAGUGGAAUUCCCAGUGUAGAGGUGAAAUUCGUAGAUAUUGGGAAGAACACCGGUGGCGAAGGCGGCUCUCUGGACCGAGACUGAGCUGAGGCGCGAAAGCGUGGGGAGCAAACAGGAUUAGAUACCCUAGUAGUCC